UGUGCCCAAUACAGUGACAGUGUGCAGAUUGUACGAGCGAAAGAGAUGGUGCAGAUUUGAUGGAGAACAGAACUUUCUGGAAUUCGUGACCAAGCCGAAGAGGACGGGGGCUGGACGUGAGGGUUUGGUGGAUACUGCCGUAAAAACUGCCGAGGCUGGAUACACUUUCGACCUUUACAAUUAGUGACCAAGCAAUGAAAACAUUACGUUUUUUCGAAGUUUUUAUGUAGGGAGGUGAUGGUUGGGAUCCCACCUCCAUUGAAGACACAUAUAGUGUUGUGGAGUUUCAAAGAGCUUUUGAUCACAUUGAAACAAACUUUCCUUAUGGCGAUGAAGAUCCUAUGGAUAAUGUGGAAUCACGAAUUCCUAGGUAAUUUCCUAGGCAUGAAUGC